rnacentral:rRNA from 1 species
GUAACACGUGGGUAACCUGCCUGUAAGACUGGGAUAACUCCGGGAAACCGGGGCUAAUACCGGAUGCUUGAUUGAACCGCAUGGUUCAAUCAUAAAAGGUGGCUUUCAGCUACCACUUGCAGAUGGACCCGCGGCGCAUUAGCUAGUUGGUGAGGUAACGGCUCACCAAGGCGACGAUGCGUAGCCGACCUGAGAGGGUGAUCGGCCACACUGGGACUGAGACACGGCCCAGACUCCUACGGGAGGCAGCAGUAGGGAAUCUUCCGCAAUGGACGAAAGUCUGACGGAGCAACGCCGCGUGAGUGAUGAAGGUUUUCGGAUCGUAAAACUCUGUUGUUAGGGAAGAACAAGUACCGUUCGAAUAGGGCGGUACCUUGACGGUACCUAACCAGAAAGCCACGGCUAACUACGUGCCAGCAGCCGCGGUAAUACGUAGGUGGCAAGCGUUGUCCGGAAUUAUUGGGCGUAAAGCGCGCGCAGGCGGUUUCUUAAGUCUGAUGUGAAAGCCCCCGGCUCAACCGGGGAGGGUCAUUGGAAACUGGGGAACUUGAGUGCAGAAGAGGAGAGUGGAAUUCCACGUGUAGCGGUGAAAUGCGUAGAGAUGUGGAGGAACACCAGUGGCGAAGGCGACUCUCUGGUCUGUAACUGACGCUGAGGCGCGAAAGCGUGGGGAGCGAACAGGAAAAGAUACCCUGGUAGUCCACGCCGUAAACGAUGAGUGCUAAGUGUUAGAGGGUUUCCGCCCUUUAGUGCUGCAGCAAACGCAUUAAGCACUCCGCCUGGGGAGUACGGUCGCAAGACUGAAACUCAAAGGAAUUGACGGGGGCCCGCACAAGCGGUGGAGCAUGUGGUUUAAUUCGAAGCAACGCGAAGAACCUUACCAGGUCUUGACAUCCUCUGACAACCCUAGAGAUAGGGCUUCCCCUUCGGGGGCAGAGUGACAGGUGGUGCAUGGUUGUCGUCAGCUCGUGUCGUGAGAUGUUGGGUUAAGUCCCGCAACGAGCGCAACCCUUGAUCUUAGUUGCCAGCAUUCAGUUGGGCACUCUAAGGUGACUGCCGGUGACAAACCGGAGGAAGGUGGGGAUGACGUCAAAUCAUCAUGCCCCUUAUGACCUGGGCUACACACGUGCUACAAUGGGCAGAACAAAGGGCAGCGAAGCCGCGAGGCUAAGCCAAUCCCACAAAUCUGUUCUCAGUUCGGAUCGCAGUCUGCAACUCGACUGCGUGAAGCUGGAAUCGCUAGUAAUCGCGGAUCAGCAUG